rnacentral:rRNA from 1 species
GACGAACGCUGGCGGCGUGCUUAACACAUGCAAGUCGAACGGAAAGGCCCUGCUUUUGUGGGGUGCUCGAGUGGCGAACGGGUGAGUAACACGUGAGUAACCUGCCCUUGACUUUGGGAUAACUUCAGGAAACUGGGGCUAAUAACGGAUAGGAGCUCCUGCUGCAUGGUGGGGGUUGGAAAGUUUCGGCGGUUGGGGAUGGACUCGCGGCUUAUCAGCUUGUUGGUGGGGUAGUGGCUUACCAAGGCUUUGACGGGUAGCCGGCCUGAGAGGGUGACCGGCCACAUUGGGACUGAGAUACGGCCCAGACUCCUACGGGAGGCAGCAGUGGGGAAUAUUGCACAAUGGGCGGAAGCCUGAUGCAGCAACGCCGCGUGCAGGAUGACGGCCUUCGGGUUGUAAACCGCUUUCGCCUGUGACGAAGCGUGAGUGACGGUAAUGGGUAAAGAAGCACCGGCUAACUACGUG